UUGGAGGGCAAGUCUGGUGCCAGCAGCCGCGGUAAUUCCAGCUCCAAUAGCGUAUAUUAAAGUUGUUGCAGUUAAAAAGCUCGUAGUUGAAUUUCGGGAUCAAUUUAUUGGUCGUGCUAUUGUACGUACUGGUAUUAUUGAUUCCUACCUUCUGACGAACCACGAUGUCAUUAAUUUGGUGUCAUGGGGAAUCAGGACUGUUACUUUGAAAAAAUUAGAGUGUUUAAAGCAGGCUCACGCUUGAAUACAUUAGCAUGGAAUAACGAAAUAGGACGUUUGAUUCUAUUUUGUUGGUUUCUAGGAUCGACGUAAUGAUUAAUAGGGAUAGUUGGGGGCAUUAGUAUUCAAUUGUCAGAGGUGAAAUUCUUGGAUUUAUUGAAGACUAGCUACUGCGAAAGCAUUUGCCAAGGAUGUUUUCAUUAAUCAAGAACGAAAGUUAGGGGAUCGAAGACGAUCAGAUACCGUCGUAGUCUUAACCAUAAACUAUGCCGACUAGGGAUCGGAUGAUGUUAAUUUUUUAAUGACUCAUUCGGCGCCUUACGGGAAAC
rnacentral:rRNA from 1 species